UACGAGGGGGGCGAGCGUUGUUCGGAAUUAUUGGGCGUAAAGGGUGCGUAGGCGGUUUUGUAAGUCUUAUGUGAAAUCUAUGGGCUCAACUCAUAGACUGCAUGAGAAACUGCAGGGCUUGAGUAUGGGAGAGGUGAGUGGAAUUCCUGGUGUAGCGGUGAAAUGCGUAGAUAUCAGGAGGAACACCUGUGGCGAAAGGCA
rnacentral:rRNA from 1 species